GACGAACGCUGGCGGCGUGCUUAACACAUGCAAGUCGAACGGAAAGGCCCUGCUUGUGUGGGGUGCUCGAGUGGCGAACGGGUGAGUAACACGUGUGUAACCUGCCCUUGACUUUGGGAUAACUUCAGGAAACUGGGGCUAAUACCGGAUAGGAGCUCCUGCUGCAUGGUGGGGGUUGGAAAGUUUCGGCGGUCGGGGAUGGACUCGCGGCUUAUCAGCUUGUUGGUGGGGUAGUGGCUUACCCAGGCUUUGACGGGUAGCCGGCCUGAGAGGGUGACCGGCCACAAGGCGACUGAGAUACGGCCCAGACUCGUACGGGAGGCAGCAGUGGGGAAUAUUGCACAAUGGGAGGAAGCCUGAUGCGGCAACGCCGCGGGCGGGAUGACGGCCUUCAGGUUGUAAACCGCUUUCGCCUGUGACGAAGCGUGAGUGACGGUAAUGGGUGAAGAAGCACCGGCUAACUACGUG
rnacentral:rRNA from 1 species